UGAGGAAUAUUGGGCAAUGGGCGAAAGCCUGACCCAGCAACGCCGCGUGGAGGAUGAAUGCCGUAAGGUUGUAAACUCCUGUUAGAGGGGAAGAAUAAUCCCGAUCGACUCGGGACAUGACUGUACCCUCAGAGAAAGCUCCGGCUAACUACGUGCCAGCAGCCGCGGUAAUACGUAGGGAGCAAGCGUUGUCCGGAUUUACUGGGUGUAAAGGGCGCGCAGGCGGGUUGGCAAGUCAGAGGUGAAAUCCUACAGCUUAACUGUAGAACUGCCUUUGAUACUGCUGAUCUUGAGUAUGGAAGAGAGAGACGGAAUUCCAGGUGUAGUGGUGAAAUACGUAGAUAUCUGGAAGAACACCAGUUGCGAAGGCGGUCUCUUGGUCCAAUACUGACGCUGAGGCGCGAAAGCGUGGGUAGCAAACAGGAUUAGAUACCCUGGUAGUCCACGCUGUAAACGAUGUCUACUAGCCGUUGGGAGGCUUGACCUUUUAGUGGCGAAGCUAACGCGAUAAGUAGACCGCCUGGGGAGUACGGUCGCAAGAUUA
rnacentral:rRNA from 1 species